CGAAUUCCGGUCAGCUGACACAUCCCGGCCAAUCUCCUGCAGACCCUCCCUCCCAGACCCUCCUACUUCCUGGACAGCAGGAGGGAGGGUCUGCUGGAGAUUGGCCGGGAUGUGUCAGCUGACCGG